CGCAGGGUCACCUCGCGGGGCGGUGACCGUCGCCGGCUUUCGAGCACGGCCUCCCGUUGCCCCGAGGGAAGGUCGGUUGGAUGUCCCGAAGAAUUUCUUCUCCGACAGAGCGGCGAUGCGUCGGCUGCCCCAGGAGGCGGGGCGGUCCCCAUCCCUGGUGGCGCGAGACGCGGCACGGGGGGACGUGGGCAGUAUUGGCGGCAGGCGGGCCAUUGGGCUGGAUGACCUUUGAGGUCGCUUCCAACCUCAUGGCUCUCUUUAGACACGCCCGGGGCCAACUCCAUCCUGCACGCUGCUGUCGGCUCUGAGGUCUGAUCGGAGGCCUUCUCCUUUCCCUCGAGGCGCUGCUCGGCCGCUGUGUUGCUGCAGGGGUGCUGCGUGAGCGCAGAGCACAGCCGGCUUUGUCCACCCCGACAGGCUCGCCUUUCUUCCUGCCUAGAAACACCGCUGCGGGACUCGCCCCCCCCCCAGGGAAAGCAGAAGCUCCAGCGCGGGGCUGGGGACUAGAAGAGCCCCGUUAUGUGCUACGGAACAAAGGGAACAUAGAGCGAGAAGCCACCUCGCUUCGCAGAGCACCCCGGCUCCCACUCCAGCUGCUCCGUGCCGGGGGAGCAGCAGCACUGAGCCCUCCCGGGUCCCGCAGAGCUGCAAAGGAGCACGAGGGGCAGGUGCAGAGAGUGCAGGCGUAAGGAGGAGCCGGCAGCACCGCCGGACCGCAGGUUGUCAGACAGACCCCGCCAUCUCAUAACGUUAGGGUUGCAGAGAUGCAUCAGCAUCACUCCGGACGGCUUCUCUGCCGCCGUAGGCCAACGCUUUGCUCAAGCACGUGAAUCUAACAGAUAGAACUCCCCCCUCAACCCGCCGUGCUUUGAAACGCACCCAGCAACACCUGUCCCCAGCAGAGCCAGCCCUGCCCCACGUCGGAGCUGGGUUCCGUCGGGCUGGGUGUGGAGGUGCCGGCCAGCAUCUCUGCACGACAGCGAGCCUGAGAAGCUAAUUAGCGCCCGUUUGCUGCUUUCAGAGAGGAGAUUCUGAGCGCUGUUGGUAAACUCAUUUCAAGGAGUCGCACUCAAUUUGCAGUGACGGAUGCUCAUCGUGGCUUUGUUCCCACAUCUACAAAGAGCAGCGCCGCAGAGGGGCUUUGAUGAUCCCUCUCGUUUGGACAGCUGGCAGGGAGCAGGAUGCACGCAGGAAUAGAAGGGCACACGGGAGCCACGGCGUCCCCUUCACGAGAGCAAACGGAGAGGCUGGGCGUCUGUAAAGUGGGGGAUGUGGGGUUCUAUCCUAGUGAUGCAACUGGAAAGUGAAAGCUCUCGCACUGCGUGGGAGAGCAGAAAUCCGCUCUGCGUCUUGAAAUAGUUGCACGUGAAGUCCUGCCCUCAACUUGCGACCUGCAACCUGCACGGCAUGGCUCUCAGGAGCCCAUUGUAGGGGCGGUUGUUGCACUGCUGGGCUCCUCCAGCUCUUGGGGGUCAGCGUGGCAUCGCACACCCAGGGACGUUGGCGUCAGGGGGAGCCAAGCCCAGCAUCGUCAGCACAGCUGUCAGGGCCCCGGCUGGGCCCUAAUGAGGCCCCCAGGUGCCACAGGGCUGGGCUGCCCUAGCACAGCUGCGCCUUAUCGGCAGCUCAGGGCAGGGCCCGCCCUCAACGCCUCUUAAACCCCCACCAGAGCUUGCUGGGAUCCACUGGGGGCUGCUGGGAGCUCAGGGGCUCAUUCAGGGCUUGCCGCAGCAUGCUGCCAGGCUCCCACACUGCUCUCUCUUUUUGGGGAGGGUGCUGGGCUUCUGCUGGGCUUUUUUGGGGUCUGGUUUCUGCUGGGCUCCUCUGCUCUUUUGGAGUCAUCGUGGGGUGGCCCUGCUGGGCUCUGGCCUUGUUUUCUUCUUUUUGGUGGUGGUAUGGGAUUGCUGUUGGUGCCCCUGCCCUCUUUGGGUCCAGCACAGGGCUGCUCUUGGCUCCCCUCUGCUCCUUAGAGCCUAUGCAGCACUUUUGCAAAGCAGCUCUCCUAGCCCCUUUGUGGGGUUAGUUAAGGGCAGUUUGCAGGUGCCGCAGCAAUGGAGGAGAGCAGGAUGGAGCUGCACCCCUUAGCCCGGAGCUGCUGGGGGUCAGAAGCAUCGCAAGGGGCUGCUUUCAAAACAGCAAAUGCUGGGGAUAUCCAUUUAAUCACGUUUGUUCUCUCUCCUUUUUGUUUCUCUCUUGCAGGGCGAGAGCUCCAGCGAGGAUCAGCCCGCAGUACCGAGCGGCUGUGGCAGCGAUGGGAGCGUGGAGCUGAGUCCCGGGGGUCCGGGCGAGCACGUUCCCUCGUGCCCAGACCCCGGGGGCUCUUUGCUUGCAGCAGGAGGAUCCUUUUGCCCUUCUAUUGGGGUCGAUGCAGUGCUGCUGCUGGGCUCCCUACCUUCUUUUUCUGGGUUCUGCUGGACUCCCCAAGGCAGAGCGCAGCCCUGGGGGUGCCCACUGCCCCCCUUGGUUGCAGCAGCGGGGGCGUGCAGGAUGGAACCACGGUUGUCCCCUCCCCAGCCCUAUUGCUGCUGGGAGUAAGAAGCAACGCCAGGGACAGCUAAGUUGAAAGCAGUGCUUUAAAUCACUUGCUGUGCUUUUAUCUUUUUGAUUUCCCCAAAAAGCUGUUGCAAGGUAAGGUGCUUUGCAGCAGGGAUCAGCCCAGAGAUGCAAGGUUCCCGCUGCACUGGGACCGCAGAGACGAGCACUGGGAUGUGGCGGUGUGAAUCUUUAGUUUUACUCAUGAAUUUUGUUCACAGAACCACAGGAUUGUAGGUGCUGGAAGGGACCUCCGGAGGUAAUGAAGUUAACCCCUCUGCAAACUGCAUCAUAGAGGUGCUCCAGGCCCUGCAUCGUCUUUGUGGCCCUCUGCCAGACUUCUUCCAGGAGAUCCCUCUCUUUGUUUGUACUGAGGAGCCUGGAAUGGGAUGCAGUACUGCAGGUGUGCAGCUCUGCAGCCCUUCCUGUGGGACGGCAGCACAGCCUUCCGGUGCAUCAGCUGCUCUUCCAAGGCCAGUUCUCAGCCCACCUCCCUGCCCACUCAUGUUGGGAUGUUGCGGGAGGAAAAAAUCCAGCAGCAUUUCUGAUUCAAGGUAGAUGACAUCUGCUCUCUCCUCCGUCUGCAUGCCUGGCGAUGCCAUUGUGGAAGACUGAGGGCCUUGGUUUGUGGGUUUCACUACAGCAGCGGCCCCUCAGAGGAGGUUUGAGGAGCUGUUCUCGCCACAGGGGCAGGGCUGGAGCAAGGUCCUGGUGCCCUCUGUCUAAGGGAGGAAGGCUGCCAGCUGUGCCCUUGUCCCCUGUUGGGGUUGUGGGGUGAUGGAGCUGCUUGGCGUCCAGGAGGAGCUGAGGGGAUCUGGCAGCUGUCUGAUGUUUUGUGUUCCUGAUGGGAGCAGUGGCUUCUGUGAGCAGUGCCAAUUGUCCAGCUUUCCCAGGGUGUGGAGGAGCAGCAUGAUGGGGGCUCCCCGUGCGAGACCAAGGAUUUAAGCUGCUGCUGCUCAGAGUGGUGUGGUUCCCCUUCUGUCUGUGGUAAGCUUGAGGUGGAAACAGAAGUGGUAGAUUUCAAAUGUCUGCAGGAGAAGAGAACAUGCUUGUGAGUAUCUAACAUCUCUGGCCACCAGCAAUAGCUUACCAGCAGCUUGAGGCCUUUGGGUGCAUGGUAAUGCUAUUCUGUUCCAGGAGCUGGAGCUUGAAAUAAUGCUCUUGAGUGGGGAGGCUUGCUGCUUUGCUCUAUCAAAGGAAACAAAAACUAAAUUGGUAAAUCAGUUUAACAAAAAGUACAAAACAGAAAUGCUUCUGAGCCUCUUUAUCUUAUCGUAAGAGAUGUAUAAAGAAAUAAAAUAUAGUUUUCUGUGUGUGCCUUAGUCACAGCAAAUAGGAUAAAUGAAAACUGAGAUUCUUUAGCAGAACUAGGAUACAGGAGCGAGUGCUUCUAAACAGAAGUCACUCCAAACAAUUUCUUGUUGUUGCAGACUUUACCUUUUGCUGUGUCCUAUUCCUUUACUUUGAGCCUAUCUCUGAGUAACUUUAUCAAAAGAGAUUGUGGAUAUUCUCUAAACAAAGAAGCAGGGCUUUAACUUCUCAUAUCAUUGUGAGUGUAUCUGCCUUAUCAGCUUGCAGAAACUGUUUAACUGCCUUUCCCCUGCAGUGCCAAUAAACUUUCCACUCCUCCUGAAUAAAAGUAGCAAAAGUCUCCUCUGUUCCAUUAACAUUCACAUGCAGAAAGAACUUAACUUCUCAAGAAAGCAAACUAUGUUCAUCAAUAUCUAAGUCAAUAUUCAUCAACAGCUAAUGUAACUAACAAUAUCUAACUAAAAUAGCUACUCUAACUAAAUAUCGAGUAAACUGUAGAGUAAACAAUUACGUGCCUUUCUUUAGAGCAAGGCAACUCAUGAGGUUUGAUGUACAGAGAAAAGAAAUCUGGCACUCACCCUCUAAUGCUUGGAGAUCUGCUCUUCAUCCUCUGCUCCCUCGAAGCUGCUUUAUUUCAGGUACCCUUAUGCAUCUAGAAGAAAGCAAGUAGCCUGCAUUGAAGAAUGUUUUCCAAUAUGUACAAGUUUGUAUUGAUAUUGAUGGUUAAAUGUUAUUAAUAAAUGGGAAAGAAUAAAUAUUUGUUACAGCUGA
ensembl:lncRNA